rnacentral:rRNA from 1 species
AAUCAACGCUGGCGGCGUGCCUCAGACAUGCAAGUCGAACGAUUAAAGCUCUCUUCGGAGAGUGUAUAGAGUGGCGCACGGGUGAGUAACACGUAAGUAAUCUACCUUUGAGUGGGGAAUAACAGUCGGAAACGACUGCUAAUACCGCAUAAUGCAGCGGCAUCGCAAGAUGACAGUUGUUAAAGGAGCAAUCCGCUUAAAGAGGAGCUUGCGGCAGAUUAGCUUGUUGGUAAGGUAACGGCUUACCAAGGCUACGAUCUGUAUCCGGUCUAAGAGGACGGUCGGACACACUGACACUGAAUAACGGGUCAGACUCCUACGGGAGGCAGCAGUCGGGAAUUUUGGGCAAUGGGCGAAAGACCUGACCCAGCAACGCCGCGUGAAGGAUGAAGUAUUUCGGUAUGUAAACUUCGAAAGAAUGGGAAGAAUCAAUGACGGUACCAUUUAUAAGCUCCGGCUAACUACGUGCCAGCCGCCGCGGUAAU